GGGUUGGCAUGUUCUUUGGUGGCGCCUGCUUCCAGGGGCUGAGACCUUGCUGCCAACAACCCGAAUAACGUCAACACCAGCACCACUUCUGUUGGGCAGAUAAGAAUAAAACAUAAGCUAUCAGGCAGGAACAGACAAGCCAGCAGUGGUGUAAUGUUGUGGUCUGGAGCAAAGUUUAAGGUUCGCUCAGUUCCCAGAAGGGAUUCUCUGCCUAUGCCCAGUCAUCCUCAGCUCUUGCUGUCUGCCUGUCUGCCUGUCCUCUAACAGCAUGCGUACAGGCAGGAGGAGAGGCAACCUGGCACUCUUCUACCAGGAGCACGAGGAGAAGACACCCAAGUGGAGCCAUGCUGGCAUCAUGGAGGUGUGUCAGAAGAGCAGCCCACUUGAGGCCUCUUGCCCAAGGAACCCCCAGAACCCAGUUUGCUGGGACUGCUCCACAAAACUGCAGAAUUUACCAACAUUUAAUUAAGAAAGCUUGUUUCUAGAUCUCAUGAUUGUGGAAGCCCAUUGUAGGUUCCAUCUGAGGACUCCCAGUAACAUCACAGCUUUCCUGAUCAGUCUCCAUAACAAGGGGUGUCCUAGAGAGCUGAACCCAACACACCUGGAAGGCUCCCAUGGAGUGGAUCCUGCAGCCGCUUCCCAGCGUAUUUCCACUAGAAGAACGUGGAAUAGCGUCCUAGCACAGGGGUAGGGAACUGGUGGUCCUGCUUAUGCCACAUCCCAGUUCCCAUCAGUCCAACCAGGUGGGCUCUCGUCAGAGGUGAUGGGAGUCGUAGCCUGAUGACAUCGACAAUGGCAAACAUGGCGGCCGAAUGGCGGACAAGCCCCACGUUCAUCAGCUCUGAAGAACUCUCCAGAAGCACUUUAGAUGGGAGGAUGGGAGGCAUGUGGGCAUCUUUUAUGGAAUGUAAUUUAAUAUUUGAAUUGGACGUAUGCUAAUAUUGCAUUAAGGAAAUAAGUCACAAAUUCCAAGGACAGUAUCUUAUCAGCGAGUUUUUGCUGUUUUAGAGCAAUGGGGGUUAAGUCAACCACAAAUGGAGUUUCUGUUAAAUUAAAGCAGAUAUUGUCACCCUAUGUGCAUGGCACAUGGUAGGACAGGCCUCUGCCCCAGAGAGCCUACAAAGUAAAAGUCAGACACAAACCAAUAAAAAAGGCAAAGUCAGAGAAAACUUCACUGUUUUUCAGUGUAAAAUUCUAUGUAUAACUUUUAAUUAUUUCCUUAUUAUUUAGAUGUAUUCCUUUAGCCAUAAAGUUGUCAUUACAACUAUUAUGUUAUAAAUGAAAGGAAGUAAUUAGGCAAAUAAUUACACAAGUAUUUCAUUAUAAUUAUACCAAAUUGCAUGUAAAGGGGUUUAAAUGGACAUUGGAGUCCAGCACAUCCCUAGGUAGCAGGUAGCACCCACAGAUGCACGACGGAAAAAGUUUUUCAUAUGCCUCCUCAGCCGAGCGCGUACUCUAAAGCAUAUGCUGUAUUUUUCUCGCACUUGUGUAGCAGAGUGUUUUAAUGACCAUCAGGUUUUGACUGCCUGAGCAUUGUGUUUGGAUUUUAUUUCAUGUUGACCUUUUAGUGCUUUGUCCAACCUUCUGCCAAAUAUAUUUAUUUCUGUGUGCAUAUUUUUGCUUUAUAAUCAAAGCCUGCAUUCUUCCCCACACCUUGGAAUGAUGCUAACUUCUCUGGUGACUAACUCUUUAUAAAAUAAUUACCAGGUUUCAAAAGGGGGAGCUAGUUAUUUGAUAGUCUUAAUAAUAUGUCAAUUUACUUCUAGCUGAAUAGAAACGUAAGCAUAUGGAAACCUGCCUUGACUGAGGUCAGGCUCCCUGAAUAGCAAGGGCCACUGGAGUUCCCGUGGGACCUGGACCACAGAUCCAUUUAUCAGAACUCCAAAUGUUUUGCACAGAACCCCAAGUUUCCAUUGGUGCCAAUGCAAGCUGGUGUUGCUUCCACAGCAAUGGACCACUGUUAAAGUUAGGGGAAACUUUUUCAUUGAUGCCAAGAGAAGCCUUCUCAUCCCUGGGUUUGGGAAUAUGAGGGUGUGAACACAAUCAUGACAAGCCCUCUCUCUUUUUAUGUACCUUUUCACAUCCUUUCAUAACCACUGUAUAUUAAUUGCCAUUAAAAUGGAAUUCCUGAUCUUG